GAUCACGCCGUACGAGCGUUUUUACGCCC
rnacentral:sRNA from 1 species